CAGUUAGCUGCAGUUGUGCUGUUUCAUUCAUUCAAUGUAAAAUAAAAAAUAAUGAAAUGGACAAUACAACUAAUCCUAUUCGAAACACCGAUAUUUUUUCUCCUAAUCUCGAAUUCAAUCCAAUUCAAAUACGACCACUCCUUCGAACCGAACCAAAAAAUGAUUUCGAAACCAAGACCUGCAGCUACAACGUUUACAAACGAAAACAGAAACAUUCGCAAACACAAUCAAAAUCACCAAAAUGAUUAUGAAAACCGAACAGUUAUCGGAAUUAUGAAUGAAAACAUUUCUUCAUCUUUCAGCACACCUGACAUCGUUAAUUUUCGCAAUUCUACAGCUGUGACUGUGAAACUAGAUUCACUCACAUCACAACCAAAUAUCCCUAACAAUACAUCGAAUAAUUUCAAUUUCAAUUCCAUAUCGCUUCAAAAACGAAAAAUAAUAUUUAUAAAUCAGCCAGUUCACUCACCGACAGCCAAAUCAAGUGUUACAAAACAUCCGGUGGAGUAUUUCAUGGAAUUUGAUCACGUAAUAUCCAACGAAUCUGAAUCCAAUCACUCGCUAUACAAAGCAAUAUCUGAAUUAUACGAAAUGCUGAAAAGUUACUUCGGUAAACCUUACACGUUACCGAGUGAAUUUGCUGUUAUACCCACCGAACAGAUUCCAAUGACGCAGAAAAAUGAUUAUCCAUCGUCUGAAUCUCCAGCUGUUCGAAUUCGAAAUAAUCAAGCCAUCCACCAUUCUGAUGUGAAAACUGCAGCGAUCUCUGAAAAAGAAGAAACAUCGCUGAAUAUUGCUCCUAAUUUCGAUCAAUUUCGUAAAGAUGCGAUGAAAUGGGUAGUAAUACUUUUCGUUGUAACGUUUGCUUUGGUGGUCAUCGUUGCAGGAAGUGCUUCGUAUUAUCGAUCUAGAAACAAAUCAUCUUAUGAGUGCUGGAUCAUCAGAAAUGAUUUCCAUCAUACAGCUUGUUUGUAAUUUACUGUGAAUGUAAUAUUAGAAACUUAAGAGAGAAGUAUUUGUAUUCGUACUUACUCAUAAUUACUAUACAUGUAUGUUACUGUAGUUGAGGUGCUAACACGUGAUUGAUGAUGUCUUGCUUCUGCUACCAGUGAUGGUGAAAAUAAAUUCAAUACAGAAAAAUGCACUAUUAAUUUGCAAAA